AUCAAUAAGCGGAGGAAAAGAAAAUAACAAUGAUUUCCCUAGUAACGGCGAGUGAAGAGGAAAGAGCUCAAAGUUGGAACCUGUUUGGCUUAGCUAAACCGGAUUGUAAACUGUAGAAACAUUUUCCAGAUACACUAGACAAAAAAGUCCUUUGGAACAGGGCAUCAUAGAGGGUGAGAAUCCCGUCUUUGGUCUAAGUAGUUGUCUAUUGUGAUAUGUUUUCAAAGAGUCAGGUUGUUUGGGAAUGCAGCCUAAAUUGGGUGGUAAAUCUCACCUAAAGCUAAAUAUUUGCGAGAGACCGAUAGCGAACAAGUACCGUGAGGGAAAGAUGAAAAGAACUUUGAAAAGAGAGUUAAACAGUAUGUGAAAUUGUUAAAAGGGAACCGUUUGGAGCCAGAUUGGCUUGAUUGUAAUCAACCUAGAAUUCGUUUUGGGUGCACUUGCAGUCUAUGCCUGCCAACGACAGUUUGAUUUGGAGGAAAAAAUUAAUAGGAAUGUGGCCUUUCGAGGUGUUAUAGCCUAUUAUCAUACUCUGGAUUGGACUGAGGAACGCAGUGAAUGCCUUUAGGCAAGAUUGCUGGGCGCUUUCGCUAAUAAAUGUUAGAAUUUCUGCUUCGGGUGGUGCUAAUGUUUAAAGGAGGAACUCGUUUAGUAUAUUUUUUAUUCGCUUAGGUUGUUGGCUUAAUGACUCUAAAUGAC
rnacentral:rRNA from 1 species